CCCCCUCAUCAGUUUCCCUGGGCGGCACCAGCUCAGGUUCUUACCGCAGUGGUGACCACAGAAAGGAGUUCUGAACCUGGGGGUCCAGGGACCUCCUGAAAUGCAGGAGAAUGCAGAAUCCAAGAGGGCAGAAGUGUUGCCCUGUUUACCCCUGAACUCUGGCCUCUGGCACACAGUCGAUGCUCAGUAAAUGUCCCCAGAGUGACAGAAUGAAUGGGCAUCCACUGAGUGAAAUGAGGUGCGACUGGGAACUGUUAUUGCUAACUGGAGCUUGAAUCCUCCAGUGACAGUGAAACCACUGCCUCCCAGGACAGCCCAUUCCACUGGAGGAAAGAUGUGGGAUGCAAAGGACCAGAGAUAGUCCCUGUGUCCGCCCUGACGAGGAUGAGAGGUGGCCUCCAGGUUUCUGCACGCUACCCCUCCAGUCCUGGUCUGCUCUGCAGCCCGAUCACCGUCCUCCAUCACUGCCCAUCCUGGCGAGCUGCCUCCGCUUCUGUGCCAUCACAGAGGUUCUUGAGCUCUCUGGGUGCUACUGAGUCCUAUGUCAUCAGAAGGGGCCUCAGGCAUCAAGAGAAAACUGCUGUAGUUUAGGGAUCUUCAAGGGCAAGUUCUGUUGUUCAGGUAACUUGUAACUGCAUUGGGCAGUGGGGGUGAGUGCGGAUCCGGGAACGGAGGGUGUGGCUGUUUCUUUCACUCUUUUGUUCUUCUCCUGGGUUUUCUGAAUCAUUCUUUAAUCAAUCUAUUCAUUGUGGCUCUAGCUAUAUUAAAAAAAUGUAACCCUUGGACCCAUUAUCCUGGUGGUUUGUACAAAUAUUGUCUGAUUCAUAUCACCUUGCAUGUACAGAUUGAAACUCGAGUGAAAGUGAAAUGUUUUUAUAUGUGAUUCUGAUUCACU